UUUUUCGCUUUCGGGCGACAAUGGAUACAGGUGGUGCAUGGUUGUCGUCAGCUCGUGCCGUGAGGUGUUGGUUAAGUCCCGCAACGAGCGCAACCCCUAUUUGAUAGUUGCUAAUAUUAAGUUUAAGGACUCUAUUGAGACUGCCAGCGACAAGCUGGAGGAAGGUGGGGAUGACGUCAAAUCAUCAUGCCCUUUAUGACCUGGGCUACAAACGUACUACAAUGGCCAGAUACAAAGAGAUGCGAAGCCGCGAGGUGGAGCGAACCUCAUAAAAAUGGUCUCAGUUCGGAUUGGAGUCUGCAACUCGACUCCAUGAAGUCGGAAUCGCUAGUAAUCGCGGGUCAGCAGACCGCGGUGAAUACGUUCCCGGGUUUU
rnacentral:rRNA from 1 species